AGCGAGUCCAGAAGGCCCCCUGCGCUCCUACUAAACUCGCUCCUGCUUUGCCCGCACCCCUGGGGCACCGAGCAGCCCCGGGGCGUCUUGAGCUGGCUGCAAACCCAGCUGGCUCCGAGGGCGACUCCUGAGCCGGGGCGAUGGGCGCCCCUCGGACAGCCCUAGAAACCCUCUCCAUUCCAGAGUGACACGCUGGGGGCGGGCUCCCAGCCUCUUUUUCUAAACUACAGAUCCGCCCCAGGAGGGCUCUGCCGGGGUCUGCAGCCCCAGGGAAGGUCGGGACUGCGGAGGCGCCGCUGGCCCGCUGGGAGGGGCAGCCGCCCAAGUCCCCCUCGCCGGCCCGCGCAGGGCCUCGGGCCUCAUCCCAGAGGAGCGCCCCAGAUCACGAUCCUCAAGCCCCGCCAGGGCUCCCGCCCCAGGGCAGCGCCCUGGACCUCCGCCCCGCGUCGGCGGUGCGAGACUAAGUUAAAGACGCUCCUAGGAGAAGAAGCAGGAGGUCGACUUCUGGGUCUGAGCGCUGGAUGCGGCGCGGUGGCCACAAGCAGCUCAGGAAACCGGUAAAGAGCCGCUUCCUGCUGCGGCAUGGGGCAAAGCAGUUAAGAGGCGGGAAAAGCUGCUUCCUGCCGCGACAGCGCAGAUCGUGGGGCAAAUUAGUUAAGAGGCGGGAACUGGGUCUAAAAGACGGGCUCCUUCCUUUCGGCAAGGAGAUAAAAUGGGAAAAUGAGACGCGCGGACACCCAAAAGGGUCCUGCUCCAGGACCGUCUUCAUCUUACCUGACUACUCCACCCGGAACCAGCUUACUCCUGGGCCUCCUCCUGACCUCCUAGCGGCUGCCACCUCCGAAGUCCUUCCACCCACCCACCCAGCCCACUCUUUCUCCAGCUUGUCUCGAACAUCUUGUCUCCUGAGCACCUGUCACCUUGUUCCUGACCCCUCUACUUACCUAGGAGAGCCAGGAGACCAAACAGCAGGGUGACUUAGGCGCUCGAUGCAAGGACCAGCAUGGGCAAGCCAUGGAAGCAGAAUGUCUUCUCAAAUGCAUUACCAUUUGAAGAACCUGCCGGGGGUCCUCCUUCCUCAGUCACCUGCUGAUCCAGUGAGCACCAGUCACCUGCAGGUGGCCCAGCCCCCUUCUCACCCCAUUCAUGUGUCUGCACCUCUAUUGGCUCAGCAGAUAGUGGCAGGUCGCAACUGUGUGCAAGGGGAAGACAGUGCCUCCUAAAAGGAGCUGAAUUAGCUUAGCACACAAGGAAAUUGAGGAAGCUAGACAGGAAAUGCUGAAUCUGGAGAGGGUGCAGGUCAGAACCCCAGCUGCAAGAGACAUUGUCCUGGAAAGAGUAGUCUGGUAGGACCCGCAAAUCUCUUACCCACACCCAGGCUGCCUCUACAGAGCAGUGAGCCAGGAGCCUUAGCUGUGGCACUCACUGGCCCUGAAUGCUAAGAAACCUUAUGUAAGUCUCUCCCUCCCCUCCAUCUAAGAUGCCUCCUGUUUAAAUGGAAGCACCUAGAGCAGAUAAGAGCUUUCCAGCCUAUCUUGACUGGAGAACCCCUUUCACCAUGCAACUCCUACCAGCACCUCGAAAUUAG
ensembl:lncRNA